rnacentral:rRNA from 1 species
AACGAACGCUGGCGGCAUGCCUAACACAUGCAAGUCGAACGAAGGCUUCGGCCUUAGUGGCGCACGGGUGCGUAACGCGUGGGAAUCUGCCCUUAGGUUCGGAAUAACAGCUGGAAACGGCUGCUAAUACCGGAUGAUGACGAAAGUCCAAAGAUUUAUCGCCUGAGGAUGAGCCCGCGUUGGAUUAGGUAGUUGGUGGGGUAAAGGCCUACCAAGCCGACGAUCCAUAGCUGGUCUGAGAGGAUGAUCAGCCACACUGGGACUGAGACACGGCCCAGACUCCUACGGGAGGCAGCAGUGGGGAAUAUUGGACAAUGGGCGAAAGCCUGAUCCAGCAAUGCCGCGUGAGUGAUGAAGGCCCUAGGGUUGUAAAGCUCUUUUACCCGGGAAGAUAAUGACUGUACCGGGAGAAUAAGCCCCGGCUAACUCCGUGCCAGCAGCCGCGGUAAUACGGAGGGGGCUAGCGUUGUUCGGAAUUACUGGGCGUAAAGCGCACGUAGGCGGCUUUGUAAGUCAGAGGUGAAAGCCUGGAGCUCAACUCCGGAACUGCCUUUGAGACUGCAUCGCUUGAAUCCAGGAGAGGUCAGUGGAAUUCCGAGUGUAGAGGUGAAAUUCGUAGAUAUUCGGAAGAACACCAGUGGCGAAGGCGGCUGACUGGACUGGUAUUGACGCUGAGGUGCGA